rnacentral:lncRNA from 1 species
UCUUUUUCCUAUAAUUUCCCUCAACACUCAUCUAUAAGAACCCUAUCUCCUUACUUCAUCAUCAUAUAACUUUCAUCAUAUCAUUACUCUUCUGGUUUCAUUCUCCAGUCCCAAACCCUCACUCAUAGCACUCUCUCCUCCAUUGACAUAACUUCAACCUCUAAAGCUCAGAGUAAUAGAGCUUGGCCCCUCGCUUCCUAUAUCUCUCUACUCUCAACAUUAACCUAAUUCUAGCAACAACAACACAACUACAACAUUCC